CCAGGAUCCACGCCUUCCCAGCCCUCCUUUAAGGGUUGGCAGUGGAGGUGCUGGUCUCACACUGGAGAUCUCUGCAUACCUGAGGCCUUGCAAAGCACCAGUUGUAAUAAGCCAGUUUCUCCUAAAACCAUACAAACCAUCAGUGAAACUUGCCUGCUUGCUGUGCUUGAAUUGGAGAUCCGGAAACGCACCUGCUCAAUGGCACUUCUUACAAGUGGGUCACUAGGACUCACUGAAGGAUGAACAACAAACUCUACCUGUUUAAAGAAGAAAACAAGGGAGGCCACAAGGGGCCACAUCAGCUUAUCCAGAAAGCACCGUCUGAAGAAAGAAGAGUCACAGAGAUGCUCAAGUUCUGCCAGAAACCUGAGGGGACCUCUCUGGCCCCAGAGCAGAUUUAGUAUUGCUCCAGGAACAUGCAAAGAGAACUUCUUAGUAAAUGACAAGAUCUUAGCAAACAAUUCUCUGCUGAAGGAAGAUGGCAAUUAUCCUCCCUUUGUGGAAAGGAGUGGGUGUUUGCAUGCAGGAAUUUGUUCAUCUGUAAGUCAUAGCCCUGAUGAAAUGAGAAAAUAUUGAAAUAUUUGGCAAUAAGGAGUUUAAUUACCACAAUCUCUAUAUAUAGAGGAAGGGUAUAUUUUGUUCAGAUUUUUUUAACAGAAUUAAUGCUGUUUUAAUAUGUAAGUAGACUGAUGAUUUUAAAUGUAUAGAGGAUCUCUGACAAAAUCCUACAGUACAGACCAGGAAAGCAGCCAAUCUUGCAAAACAGAAGUUGCCUCAUAGUCAGAAAUGAACCAAAAUGGCUAUUUAGAGUGAGACAUUUAUGCUCGCCUCCAAAACAUAUUCCAGAAAAUACAGGUUCCCAAAUACCAGUAGGUUACCAGGGAUUACAGUAAGUGUGCUUUAGUGGUCGAGGCCCAUUUGUCUGCCUUGCCACUUUUUGGAGGCUAAAUCUGCCCCAUGGUGCUGGGAACUUUGGAGUACUGUGAAGCUGCAUCUGGUACAAUCCCAUCCAUUAGUGUAGAUCACCAGAACGUGCUCUCAGUAUAGACAGCAAGCAGGAUGCUUGCAGGAUGCUUAUGUAUGUUGGUGGCCCUGCUAGGCAGGGGGGUUGGAACUACAUGAUCCUUGGGGUCCCUUCCAACCCGGGUGAUUCUG